UACAGAGGUGGCAAGCGUUGUUCGGAAUUACUGGGCGUAAAGGGCGAGUAGGCGGCCUUCUAAGUCAGACGUGAAAUCCCCCGGCUUAACCUGGGAACUGCGUCUGAUACUGGGAGGCUUGAGUAUGGGAGAGGGAUGUAGAAUUCCAGGUGUAGCGGUGAAAUGCGUAGAUAUCUGGAGGAAUACCGGUGGUGUAGACGGCUUUCUGGACCGUAACUGACGCUGAGACACGAAAGCGUGGGUAGCAAACAGG
rnacentral:rRNA from 1 species